UGAUUUCUUACUGGCUUGAUCUCAAGCUCCUUGAGGGACCACUUAGCCCCAUCUGGAAAAUUAAAUGGACAGAUUCAGUAGGUUAUUUUGUCUCUUGGGCUGAAACCAGAAAGUGGAGAUAUGAAGUUGCAGAAAGUCUGCCCUGCUUUCUGAAGAGCAGCAAUCACUUCCACAAUCCUUUGCCUUGGCAGAGAUCCUAA
rnacentral:lncRNA from 1 species